AUUUUUAGUUCUAAUCAUGUACAAAUUUUACUUGUGUUGCAGCAAUCAUGGCAGAUGAAACUCAAAAUGAGAUGAAGGAGGUUCUAGAAAUCACGCUGAAGAUGAUGAAGGAGAAAUAGUUGCUCCUCAGGCUCGUUAUCCUUGGGAAGGGAGUGAUCGUGAUUAUGAAUAUGAGGAGGGUGUUUAACAUUCUACAUGAGAAUAAUGUUGAACUUGCUGGAGAUCGGGGAGGACAGUUAUGAGGCCUCCUCAUGUUCUUCGUGAAGGCACAAAGAAAACUGUGUUCAUGAAUUUUAUGGAUCUAUGCAAAACAUAUGUUGAUAUU